rnacentral:lncRNA from 1 species
GGGACACCUAGACUCUUAUAGGCUUUUGGACUUUUGUUGUUUUUUCCCUUAUUUUGACUUUUUUGACUUUUUAUUUGGGAUUUUGACUCUGGAUUUUGGAUUUUGUUCUUUGGUUUUGGAUGUAUGCUUUUUUUUUUUGGACUUGGACUUAGACUUCAUUAUUUAUUUAUUUUUUUUGGAUUCUUUUGCUUUCUGCUUGACUUAGGAUUGUUUGACUUUAUUGCUUUAAUUGGGAAUGUCAUUUGACUUUUAAGCUUUCCAAGCAUUUUCCAACUUUAUUUAUUCAAGCUCUAAUUUUUGCCUAAGCCGCCCUUUCGGGUUUUCAACUUAGCGAGCUACCCAUUUUUGCCUAAGCCGCCCUUUUCGGGUUUUCAACUUAGCGGGC